rnacentral:rRNA from 1 species
UACGUAGGGUGCGAGCGUUGUCCGGAAUUAUUGGGCGUAAAGAGCUCGUAGGCGGCUUGUCGCGUCGGAUGUGAAAGCCCGGGGCUUAACUUCGGGUCUGCAUUCGAUACGGGCAGGCUAGAGUUCGGUAGGGGAGAUCGGAAUUCCUGGUGUAGCGGUGAAAAUGCGCAGAUAUCAGGAGGAACACCGGUGGCGAAGGCGGAUCUCUGGGCCGAUACUGACGCUGAGGAGCGAAAGCGUGGGGAGCGAACAGG